UGGUGGAGUGAUUUGUCUGCUUAAUUGCGAUAACGAACGAGACCUUAACCUGCUAAAUAGCCAGGCUAGCUCUGGCUGGUCGCCGGCUUCUUAGAGGGACUAUCGGCUCAAGCCGAUGGAAGUUUGAGGCAAUAACA
rnacentral:rRNA from 1 species